rnacentral:lncRNA from 1 species
GCCAAAUGUUGCUAACCUUUGGGAACUUGAAUGCAUUUCCGAAUAGAAGUGCUUCUUGAAAGAAAAUAAAUAAAUGUGUCCCCAUGUUGAUAUUUUAUUGAGUUGUAUGCUGCUGAAGAUGUGGCACAAACUCAUAGUAUGAUUCAUUAAAGCAAUUUAGACGAUUAUCAGUCCUUUGCAAAAAAGAGCUUUUCAUCCAGAAACAGCAGAUGCUGUACUUCCCUUUGUCAUGGUUGGACUCUGAUAGUCCUCGCCCAGUCUCAACAUACUUUUUCCUUAAAGGACUGUUUGCCACUGUCUUGUUUUUUUGCUUGUUGGCUGGUUUUUAUAUUUUGGGGCUUGGUGGGGGGGGAGGCGAGAUUUUUGAUCUGCGCUUCUAAGUUGGAAAUUAUUUUGUACCACUUCGUAAAAUCACAGUAUCACAACAACGAAUCUGUGGAAGUUUAGUAAGGUAAGGAGUGAAAUAAGGUGUAGAGGUUUAAAAAAAGACAAAAACACUUUUUUGUCUGUAGGCUUUAGUAUCCCCAACUGAAAUAUGCCUCAGGUUUCUCCAGAUCCCUGUCUCUUCUCCUUAGGGGUAACCAAAGAAGGCAGCAAGAAGGUAACACCACUGCUAGGACUGCUUGCCCUCACGGCUUCAUUCCAAAGUGAGAGAGAGGCAAGCGUGUGGGCCUCUGCAGCCAACACAUUGAGUGAAGGCACAGGCUCCUUUGGGGAAGAAAUGUCAGGUCUUCUUCUCUUCUCUGAAGGAAACUUCCCUUCAAGACUCAGACUGCUGGACCUCAGAAAUUUUAAUAAGGAAGCAAGCCCCUCUGUUUUUAUGGAAUUGAAUUCAUCUGCUAGCAUGCAUUUUGCAUUUGUCUUAUCAAGAUAUCUUGGUAAGAAAUCUGCUCUUGGUUUUUUAAUGUUGGUCAAAGAGGAAACUUGAGGGGCUUAUACAUAGUUCCUUGUAUCAUAAUAUCUGUCACUCAAAGAUUUAGGAUUGUGGAAAUUCUAUAAUUUGCUAAGUACAUUUGUGACAAUUACAUGCACAGAAGUUGGAAAAUAGCCAGAUAAUGGUUUUGAGGCACCAAUGAGCUAUCCAAGAAGUUGAAUUGGAUCAAAAUUUCUUUCAUUUGAUCCACAUAAGCUUCAAUUCUGACUGAUGGACAAAAGUGAUGCGUGGGACCCAAGGAUUUAGGUCUGUUCAGGUCCAUUUCCAACAAUGCCUGAAAUAUGUGAUCAUUUCUGUUUUCCCAGAACAUAGUUACUAGGGUAAAUGGCCACAUGACAUUUUGGAAGACACUUAGAAGGGUAUCAUACAUUCUUGUGAGAUGGGCAACUGCUCCUUCCUCAAGAAAGCCAUCCCUCUUUUCAGAGGUUUUAGUCUGUGAACAGACUAAGUUUUGAG